GGCGAGGUGACCGUCAGGCAGGCCCCGGAAAGCGGAAGGUCGGCGGUUCGAUCCCGCCCCUGGCCACCA
rnacentral:tRNA from 2 species